CACGCACACACGCGCGGCAUAUCAAUAAGCGGAGGAAAAGAAACUAACAAGGAUUCCCUUAGUAACGGCGAGUGAAGCGGGAAGAGCUCAAAUUUGAAAUCUUCAAGGUUUUACCUUGACGAAUUGUAGUUUAAAGAAGUGUUUUCUGCUGAAGUUUUGGUAAAAGUUCUUUGGAAUAGGACAUCAUAGAGGGUGAGAAUCCCGUAUUUGACCUUUACUUUCAACUUUGUGAUACACUUUCAAAGAGUCGGAUUGUUUGGGAAUGCAGUCCAAAAUGGGUGGUAAAUUUCAUCUAAAGCUAAAUAUUGGCGAGAGACCGAUAGCGAACAAGUACCGUGAGGGAAAGAUGAAAAGAACUUUGAAAAGAGAGUUAAACAGUACGUGAAAUUGUCAAAAGGGAAGCGUUUGACACCAGUGUUGUUUUUCUGAAAAUCAAUUAAAGAACUGUUUAUGCUAAGUUGUUUAGACUUUAUCAGCUAGCUGUUUAGUUUUGAGCUUUUCUUUAACGCACUUUUCAGUUAACAAGUCAACAUCAAUUUCUCUUGCUGUAAAAAAGCUUGAGGAAGGUGGCUUGAGAUUCGUCUUAAGUGUUUAUAGCCUCUUGCCUAUGCAGUCGGAGAGAUUGAGGUCUGCAGCGUAGAUCCUUCGGGGCUAAAUGCAUUUGUGCUAAGUUAUAGCAUUUUAUAGACAACUUGUUGACUAUGAUUUGUCUUGCAGCUUACUCGCUUAUGUUAUUUUACCUACGCUUAGGAUGUUGAUCUCUCACAGUCGAGC
rnacentral:rRNA from 1 species